rnacentral:rRNA from 1 species
AUUGAACGCUGGCGGCGUGCCUAACACAUGCAAGUCGAGCGGUAACAGGUGUAGCAAUACAUGCUGACGAGCGGCGGACGGGUGAGUAACGCUUGGGAAUCUGCCUGUUAGUGGGGGACAACCCGGGGAAACUCGGGCUAAUACCGCAUACGCACUACGGUGGAAAGCCGGGGACCGCAAGGCCUGGCGCUAACAGAUGAGCCCAAGUCGGAUUAGCUAGUUGGUAGGGUAACGGCCUACCAAGGCGACGAUCCGUAACUGGUCUGAGAGGACGACCAGUCACACCGGAACUGAGACACGGUCCGGACUCCUACGGGAGGCAGCAGUGGGGAAUAUUGGACAAUGGGCGAAAGCCUGAUCCAGCGACGCCGCGUGGGUGAAGAAGGCCUGCGGGUUGUAAAGCCCUUUCGGUGGGGAAGAAAGCCUCGAGUUAAUACCUCGGGGUCUUGACGUAACCCAUAGAAGAAGCACCGGCUAACUCUGUGCCAGCAGCCGCAGUAAG